rnacentral:rRNA from 1 species
UACGGGGGGAGCAAGCGUUGUUCGGAUUUACUGGGCGUAAAGGGCGCGUAGGCGGUCAGCACAAGUCAGUUGUGAAAUCUCCGGGCUUAACUCGGAAAGGUCAACUGAUACUGUGCGACUAGAGUGCGGAAGGGGCAACUGGAAUUCUCGGUGUAGCGGUGAAAUGCGUAGAUAUCGAGAGGAACACCUGCGGCGAAGGCGGGUUGCUGGGCCGACACUGACGCUGAUGCGCGAAGGCCAGGGGAGCGAACGGG